NNAUGAUUAGCUCAAUUGGUAGAGCGAUUGCAUUUUAAGCAAUUCGGCAUCGGUUCAAUUCCGAUAUCAUAAA
rfam:Desulfuromonadales bacterium C00003093 3730_contig_17551, whole genome shotgun sequence.